rnacentral:rRNA from 1 species
GAUGAACGCUGGCGGCGUGCUUAACACAUGCAAGUCGAACGGAAAGGCCCAAGCUUGCUUGGGUACUCGAGUGGCGAACGGGUGAGUAACACGUGGGUGAUCUGCCCUGCACUUCGGGAUAAGCCUGGGAAACUGGGUCUAAUACCGGAUAGGACCACUUCUUGGAUGUUGUGGUGGAAAGUUUUUUCGGUGUGGGAUGAGCUCGCGGCCUAUCAGCUUGUUGGUGGGGUAAUGGCCUACCAAGGCGUCGACGGGUAGCCGGCCUGAGAGGGUGUACGGCCACAUUGGGACUGAGAUACGGCCCAGACUCCUACGGGAGGCAGCAGUGGGGAAUAUUGCACAAUGGGCGCAAGCCUGAUGCAGCGACGCCGCGGGGGGGAUGGCGGCCUUCGGGUUGUAAACUCCUUUCGCUAGGGACGAAGCGUUUUGUGACGGUACCUGGAGAAGAAGCACCGGCUAACUACGUG